rnacentral:rRNA from 1 species
GGAUGAACGCUGGCGGCGUGCCUACUACAUGCAAGUCGAGCGAACGGACGAGAAGCUUGCUUUUCUGAUGUUAGCGGCGGACGGGUGAGUAACACGUGGAUAACCUACCUAUAAGACUGGGAUAACUUCGGGAAACCGGAGCUAAUACCGGAUAAUAUUUUGAACCGCAUGGUUCAAAAGUGAAAGACGGUCUUGCUGUCACUUAUAGAUGGAUCCGCGCUGCAUUAGCUAGUUGGUAAGGUAACGGCUUACCAAGGCAACGAUGCAUAGCCGACCUGAGAGGGUGAUCGGCCACACUGGAACUGAGACACGGUCCAGACUCCUACGGGAGGCAGCAGUAGGGAAUCUUCCGCAAAGGGCGAAAGCCUGACGGAGCAACGCCGCGUGAGUGAUGAAGGUCUUCGGAUCGUAAAACUCUGUUAUUAGGGAAGAACAUAUGUGUAAGUAACUGUGCACAUCUUGACGGUACCUAAUCAGAAAGCCACGGCUAACUACGUG